rnacentral:rRNA from 1 species
UACGUAGGGUGCAAGCGUUGUCCGGAAUUAUUGGGCGUAAAGAGCUCGUAGGCGGUCUGUCGCGUCGGCUGUGGAAAUCCCGGAGCUCAACUCCGGGUCUGCAGUCGAUACGAGCAACUAGAGUGUUGCAGGGGAGACUGGAAUUCCUGGUGUAGCGGUGAAAUGCGCAGAUAUCAGGAGGAAUACCGGUGGCGAAGGCGGUCUCUGGGCAACAACUGACGCUGGAGGAAGCGAAAGCCGUGGGGAGCGAACAGG